rnacentral:rRNA from 1 species
CCCUUAGAUGUUCUGGGCCGCACGCGUGCUACACUGAGUGGAUCAGCGGGUCAGGUUGCGCGAAAGCGUUUCCUAAUCUUUAAAUCCGCUCGUGAUGGGGAUUGACGGUUGCAAUUUUCUGUCAUGAACGAGGAAUACCUUGUAAGCGCGGGUCAUCAUCCCGCGCUGAAUACGUCCCUGCCCUUUGUACGCACCGCCCGUCGCUCCUACCGAUUGAGUGGUCCGGUGAGGCUUUGGGAUCUGAGCGGAAGGAGCGUUUCGCUGUUUCUGCUCGGAAAACUCAGUCGAACCUUAUCAUUUAGAGGAAGGAGAAGUCGUAACA